rnacentral:lncRNA from 10 species
UUAAGAAUGUGACUUUGGAGCCAGCCUGCUAGGGGCUGAAUUCUGACUCAGCCAUUUACUAACUGUGUGACCUUAGGUCACAGAAUUUUCCACACUCCUUGACAGAGGUGCUUAACCCUUAUCCAUCAGCAUUCUCAGACAGCACCUCCGGUUAGGGACAGUAUCUGACCGUCCGACAUCCCUGCAGCCCCCAUGUGUCACACAGACUCAGCCUCAGGUAGAUGGUUUCCGUAGAUGGUGGCUUUCUUUGGACCCUUGACAUCAACCAGUUACUAUUUGAGUCUUGCUCUGUCACCCAGGCUGGAGUGCAGUGGCGUGAUCUUGGCUCACUGCAAGCUCCGCCUCCCGGGUUCAAGCAAUUCUCCUGCCUCAGCCUCCCAAGUAGCUGGGAUUGCAGGUGCCCACCACCACACUUGGCAAAUUUUUGUAUUUUUAGUAGAGACAGGGUUUCACCAUGUUGG